rnacentral:lncRNA from 1 species
GUCCAUGGGAUGGUGUUUAAACAAAUUUAUUUUAAAUUUCAGAGGACAGAUUACAUUAGUUGACAUCAGCAUUACACUCACCUGGUCAUUCUGUCUCUUUAAAACAGUACUGUGAAGUUGAUUGGAAAUUUCAUCUUCUCCCUAUUUGAGACUCAUUUGAUAUUAUUUGCUGCUUCACCACUCAGUGUUAGUGUCCCUGAGGCCUGCCUUGCACUACUUUCUCUAUCUAAAAUAUUCACAUGCCUGUAACUGAAUUCAAGGAAAACAAAGCCUGGGGCUAGAAGGAAGUGUAGGAAUCCAAGGAGAAAUAUCCGUGGUAGAUUUCAAUUAAGAAGCUCUGGCAUUAAGCAAAAUAGGUGAAGAAGCUUUACACGUCGUUUCCCUUUUGAGUCGCUCAGCCAAAUUCAUCAGUGUAAAGGAAGAGUUAAAGAAGUACUCAAACCCAAGAGCCCUUUAAAGAAACAACAUAGGAGUCAGUGAGUGAGUGGGGGAAGCAGCCAAGAUGGACAAACAAGAACAGCUCUGGUCUACAGCUCCCAGCAUGAGCGACGCAGAAGACAGGUGAUUCCUGCAUUUCCAUCUGAGGAAGGACCUCAGGAAACCUGCCCAGCAAUCAUAAAUGCUGCUUUCAUCCUGCAAGUGAUCUUACUUUGCAUGCCACUGAGCCACAGGUUCAUGAGCAAGAGAGUAGAAGUGAAUUUUAUUCUGAUCUUGUCUAGACUGAAGCUGGCACCAUAUUCAAUUAAGGACAUUCCUACAUUGAUUGUCAAGGUGUUGAAAUUUCCACCAUGUAGUUUUUUCUCCACACUCACAGAGAGGCUCACGGUAAACCUCCUAAAGCAUCUUAUUAAAAGAGAAACGCUACAGCCAUAGUCACAGAUGAGCUCUGGUGACUAAAAUCCCACCUACCACUACUUGACUGUUGCGGUCCCUGAAGCCUACAAAAUCGCAGAAUGAUUGCUGGUUCUCAAACCUCUAGGUUACUUUAUGAUUGGGAAUUUUACAUAUAUCCAUUGCCUGAAAUGCCCUUAGCAUCUAUUACCCUUUGAGACUUAGCUUCAAUAUCAAGUAAUGAAGCCUUUCUUAAGUACCUAGAGAAAAUCAGUUUUCCGGUCUUUCAUGCUACCUUUGUACACACAGCUUUCUGUUGUUACCUUUUCAAAUCAAUCAUUUCACCAUUAUUUCUCUAUGCAUUCAUUCAUUAUUUCAACAAAUAUUUAUCGGGUGUUUAAUAUGUUUAUAGCCAUGUGCUAAGCACUGAGGUUAUACUUUGUCGUGACUCCAUGGUUAAACUCCACAGGGACAAGAUCCACACAAAUAUUCUGUGUGAAGGACACAUAAAUAGUUUGGGGGUACAUCAUGCCUAUGACUGAUAUGAAGAAGGUGUAAACAAAUGUAUAUUGAAUUAAAGAAUACCUUAAAUAUUUGUUUGUAAGAGAUAUAGUUUUAGGAUUUGUUACAAUAGUUAGAAAAGGGUUUCAUGAAUAUGGAAUGAAAGCUUAGACUGCAACUGUUUUACAAAGCGCUUUUAAAAGUAACUACUAAAAUAAUCUAGUAACACUUUUAGAGUCAUUUAGAAAAGAAUAAAAUAAUCUUAGCCUAGCUAACAGGAUGUUCCAAUAAAACUAUUGUGAAGUGGUAGGACUCUUGAUUAUGGUGAGAAUGGGUCAGAAUGGAUGAAUCAACACAUUUGUGUAAAGAAUAAUAUCUAGAAAUGAUGACAAUGUAUAUUUGAAAGAAAAGAGUAUUAAAAAUGUCUUUAAAUUUUCCAAUUUGUUGUACUCAUAGGAAAAUAGGAGGUGAAAAUGAAAUACUUAGAGAUGGUGUCUUAAUUUAUUUCAAGAAUUUGAGGUAAAAAGGAACUGCUCUGCCCUGUUAAUAUGUGAGAUGAGCAAUUUAGGAGGGAGGUCAGACUGGAAAAGUGAAUUUACUGAACACCAUGAUAGUCAUGUUGUUUAAUGACUUAAGAAUAGACAGUAAAAGAGGUUCUCCUAUCAUAGCCCUACAUCCUCUGGAAAUACAUGCUACAUUAAAAUUUAUAUUUCUAUUUCCAUAUGCUUGGUAUGACUAAUGGCAGAAACUGUGAAGAAUCCUAGGAGAAAAAUGGUCUGCAUUUGCUUCAGACUUAUUGCAAAGUGUAUGUAUGAAGGAAAACAUUACUUCUAAUUCUACCAGACCAUCACCUGCAUGAGUCCCUGUGAUGCUUCCCAAAUCCAUCCAAAUGCUUAACUGAAGCUUGAAUUUAUUAUUUUCAAGUUCGAUGUAAAAGUUCUUCUUUUUAAACUUGACACUGUAUACUGUGGCUUAAAUAUUUAAGCAAGGCUCUUUCGAAGAUUGAGGAAGAAACACUCACACAUCAAAAGUAUCUAAUGUUUAAUUCAGCGAGGUAAGCUUUCUCAAACUCUGAAGCUUAUGUGAAGCUGUUUGGAAUUUUUUCAAAGGUCUUUUAUCUCUAAAUCAAAACAGAAUUUUUUUUAAAAAAAUUAUAAUAAUUCUUCAAAACAGAAAUAACUUCUGUCAGAGUUCUUUGGUUUCUACCUAAAAGAAACAGUUACGUGGCAAUUGUUUAUUUAUUUCUACAUGAACCCAACAUGUUCAAAUUCUAAAAGAUUUAGACAAGCUUGCUUCAGUCAUACAUAAAGAUUUUGAAAACUUAUUAUUCAAGCCAACUAAGAUUCUUGCUAGAAAACUCAAACAAAGAACAAUAAUUGGUUUGAAAACUGCAGAAUAUACUUUGUAGAUUAUGACUCUUCAUUGAUAAACAGAUAAGUAAACACCCACAAAUCAAUAUGUAAACAAUAGAACUGGCUAUUAAGUUUUUGCUAAAAGAUCUUCCUUGAGAGAGUUUAUAGAAUUUGCUAAUUUUUUCUUUUUUGUCUUAUUUAAUGUUAGUUAUCAAAGCCAAGUCUUCCCAGACCCUUACUAAUUAAUCUCAACAAUUUGUUUUUGAAAUUUUGAAAACAUAGAAAUAUUAGGAGAAUCUCCACUGGAGUGAUUCAAGAGAGUUCUAAAACAUGGAGACUGACAAAAACAUUCAGAUAGAAAUCUGCAGUUAAUAGUAAUAAAAUGACGGCAGUCACUGUGAUGAUAUGAUAAUUGUGAUGAUUAGGCUGCUGGUUUGGAAUCCUGGAUAAAUCUCUUAAACUAGCUUUAUGGCUUUUAGCAAGUUAUGUAACCUUUGAAAUAUUCACCUGGUUUUUAAAACCACAUUCUGUGGAUGUAAGAUCUAAAUAAGAUAACCCAUAUAAAUAAUGUAGUAUGUCUCGCACAUACUAAGCGCAUGCUAAGACUUUCCCCAUGCUUUCUUUUUUUUGGCUUCUUUUAUUAUUAUUAUUAUUAUUAUACUUUAAAUUCUAGGGUACACUUGCACAACAUCCAUGUUUUAAGUCUCCACCCACUUGUCCUUGAAAAUUCUAAUCUCUUUUGUUUACCAAGGCCAGUGAUAAUGAAGUCUUAUGAUAAAACCUGUUCCUAUAACAUUCCUUCUAGUCAUUACACAUUUUAAUCUCUCGUUUAUUAAGUUAGGUGCCUGUAAUAAUAACAUUUUCUAGAAUAUUUUUUACUGCUUUUAGCAUGGCUAACUUUUUUCACCUUUCCUUCAGUAAAUGCUGCCUCAUUUUAAGGUUUAUUCUGAACACCCA